GUUUUUAUAGUUGAAAUACAACGAUGGUUUUUCAUAUCAUUAGUCAUGGUUGUAGUCCAUGUAAGAACGA
rnacentral:tRNA from 1 species